CAAACAACAUCUAUUCUAUUAUCAUCAGUUGGUGGCAUUGAGCUGGAUGUGAGAGAGUUCCUAGAUCUAGUCUAGGCCUUCUGUGUAACAUUGCCAGCUCGCUAGUCGCGAACAUGGGUGUUCCACCUUUCAAAAAAAAGUUGAAAAAGGAGGUGGACUGAGGCACACCACUAACAGUAACAGCUUGCUUACUUUGUGUAUGCGUUCUCUCCAGGUAAACAAGUAUGAUACCCUCUAGACUGUCAUCUCAAUGGUCCCAAGUUCAAACCCUUGCCUGCUGUCAUCACUGGCAAUCUUAUGUAAUAUUCAGUUCAGAAGGACCAUCCAAAAAAAUAUCAAAUAAAGAAACAAGUAGAAAGACUUGUAGUAGAAUGUGUUAUAAUUUCCUGAAGGAGAUAGAAAGAAAUGAGACCAGACCUAACAAAAUAAAGCCCAUCACAACUGAUGAACACUUCUUCUUCUAGCCAGCUUUAGUGCUGCUGAGCUGUCAGCUCUUUUGCAGACUCUGCCAAGGAAAAAAAGUGUGCUGUUUUCUUCAGUUGUUCAGCACUGCCGUACAGGGUGUUGAUUAUGUUGGGCUGUAGUGGAAGUAGGGUCUGCCUAAGGUGGAUUAGGGAGGGGCAUUCAAAGAGGAUAUGGUUUACGUAAACCGUAAACUGAUGAACACAAUUGGUGAGACUAUUAAGCUUUGAGACACUUCAAAACAUUGGUGAGACCAUUCAACUUUGAGACACCACAAAACAUUGGUGAGACCAUUCAACUUUGAGACACUCCAAAACAGGCAAAUAAAAUAAAGUAAGCCAUAAUGAUUAAACCAAUAGACCACAAGUUACAAAUGUAAAAACACAACCAUUAAAUUACAUAGGAAGAAACUUUUUCCAUAUGCAUGUCAAUUUAAGUAGGCCUACAUGUUUUUCCCUGGUGUCAUGGAAAGGGUUAACUGAAUCAACCAAAGAAACCAAUAAUCUAUUUAAGUAUAUAAUAAAUAUUCAGUAAUGAUAGAUAUAUAAAACAUUGGACAUAAUGUAAUUUAUACAUUAUAACAAGAAUCUUUGAUUACACUAUUUUGACAAAAAUGAUUUCUAUAAAUGUUAUAAAUUUUUGUUUGUUUGUUUGUUUUUAAUAAAAAGCUAUUUUGAUUUUUUCAUAUCAUUAAUUGUCAAAAUAGUUUCACUUUAGAUUAUUGCAAUAAUGCAUAUACAUUUUUUUUUAUGUUUAUUAAUUAAAUUUAUCCUGAACCUAGAUAAAACAAAACUAUUUUGAC